rnacentral:rRNA from 1 species
CACAGGUGGUCAGGUAGAGCAUACCAAGGCGUACGAGAUAACUAUGGUUAAGGAACUCGGCAAAAUGCCCCCGUAACUUCGGGAGAAGGGGGACCGGAAUAUCGUGAACACCCUUGCGGUGGGAGCGGGAUCCGGUCGCAGAAACCAGUGAGGAGCGACUGUUUACUAAAAACACAGGUCCGUGCGAAGUCGCAAGACGAUGUAUACGGACUGACGCCUGCCCGGUGCUGGAAGGUUAAGAGGACCCGUUAACCCGCAAGGGUGAAGCGGAGAAUUUAAGCCCCAGUAAACGGCGGUGGUAACUAUAACCAUCCUAAGGUAGCGAAAUUCCUUGUCGGGUAAGUUCCGACCUGCACGAAUGGCGUAACGACUUCUCAACUGUCUCAACCAUAGACUCGGCGAAAUUGCACUACGAGUAAAGAUGCUCGUUACGCGCGGCAGGACGAAAAGACCCCGGGACCUUCACUACAACUUGGUAUUGAUGUUCGGUACGGUUUGUGUAGGAUAGGUGGGAGACUGUGAAACCUCGACGCCAGUUGGGGCGGAGUCGUUGUUGAAAUACCACUCUGAUCGUAUUGGGCAUCUAACCUCGAACCCUGAAUCGGGUUUAGGGACAGUGCCUGGCGGGUAGUUUAACUGGGGCGGUUGCCUCCUAAAAUGUAACGGAGGCGCCCAAAGGUUCCCUCAACCUGGACGGCAAUCAGGUGGCGAGUGUAAAUGCACAAGGGAGCUUGACUGCGAGACUUACAAGUCAAGCAGGGACGAAAGUCGGGAUUAGUGAUCCGGCACCCCCGAGUGGAAGGGGUGUCGCUCAACGGAUAAAAGGUACCCCGGGGAUAACAGGCUGAUCUUCCCCAAGAGUCCAUAUCGACGGGAUGGUUUGGCACCUCGAUGUCGGCUCGUCGCAUCCUGGGGCUGGAGCAGGUCCCAAGGGUUGGGCUGUUCGCCCAUUAAAGCGGCACGCGAGCUGGGUUUAGAACGUCGUGAGACAGUUCGGUCUCUAUCCGCCGCGCGCGUCAGAAACUUGAGGAAACCUGUCCCUAGUACGAGAGGACCGGGACGGACGAACCUCUGGUGCACCAGUUGUCCCGCCAGGGGCACCGCUGGAUAGCCACGUUCGGUCAGGAUAACCGCUGAAAGCAUCUAAGCGGGAAACCUUCUCCAAGAUCAGGUUUCUCACCCACUUGGUGGGAUAAGGCCCCCCGCAGAACACGGGUUCAAUAGGUCAGACCUGGAAGCUCAGUAAUGGGUGUAGGGAACUGGUGCUAACCGGCCGAAAACUUACAACA